GGUGGUCGAUUCAAUCGAUUACUGUGGCAAGCUUAUGUUUCUGUGAACAAAAUUUUUGCUGAUAGGAUCAUGGAAGUGAUCAACCCGGAAGAUGACUUUGUGUGGGUUCAUGACUAUCAUCUCAUGGUACUGCCUACCUUCUUGAGGAAGAGAUUCAAUAGAGUAAAGCUUGGAUUUUUCCUGCAUAGCCCGUUUCCUUCUUCCGAGAUAUAUAAAACAUUGCCUAUUCGUGAAGAAAUCUUACGAGCUCUCUUGAAUUCGGAUUUGAUUGGGUUCCACACUUUUGAUUAUGCCAGACACUUCCUCUCGUGUUGCAGUCGGAUGUUAGGCAUUUCGUAUGAGUCAAAAAGGGGUUACAUUGGCCUCGAAUACUAUGGCAGGACUGUAAGUAUUAAAAUUCUGCCAGUGGGUAUUCAUAUGGGACAGCUUCAGCAAGUCUUGAGUCUCCCGGAGACGGAGGCGAAAGUUUCUGAGCUUGUGCAGCAGUAUAAUCAUCAGGGAAGGACAUUAUUGCUUGGAGUUGAUGACAUGGACAUAUUUAAAGGCAUUAGUUUGAAGUUAUUGGCAAUGGAACAACUUCUAUUGCAGCACCCAGAGAUGCAGGGGAAGGUUGUUUUGGUGCAGAUAGCCAAUCCUGCUAGAGGCAAAGGAAAAGAUGUCCAAGAAGUGCAGGAUNUCUCCGUCUUUCGGGCGAAUGAGCCGGAGGAUUCCGCGUAUUAUGACCGUUGCUGGGAUAAUGUCUGAUCUGGAUGAUGAUGGAUCAGAGAGCGUUUGUUCCGAUCCAUCAUCGUCUUCGGCUCAAAAGGAUAGGAUAAUUGUUGUAGCUAAUCAGCUGCCUAUAAGAGUACAAAGGAAAACUGAUGGCAGUAAAGGAUGGUUAUUCAGCUGGGAUGAGAAUUCACUUCUUCUCCAGCUGAAAGAUGGUUUAGGAGAUGAUGAAAUUGAGGUUAUAUAUGUUGGUUGUCUUAAGGAAGAAAUCCACCCGAAUGAGCAAGACGAGGUUUCACAAAUACUACUUGAGACAUUUAAGUGUGUUCCCACUUUUGUACCACCUGAUCUGUUUACCAAGUACUACCAUGGAUUUUGUAAACAACAACUUUGGCCUUUGUUCCACUAUAUGUUGCCCCUUUCGCCUGAUCUAGGUGGUCGAUUCAAUCGAUUACUGUGGCAAGCUUAUGUUUCUGUGAACAAAAUUUUUGCUGAUAGGAUCAUGGAAGUGAUCAACCCGGAAGAUGACUUUGUGUGGGUUCAUGACUAUCAUCUCAUGGUACUGCCUACCUUCUUGAGGAAGAGAUUCAAUAGAGUAAAGCUUGGAUUUUUCCUGCAUAGCCCGUUUCCUUCUUCCGAGAUAUAUAAAACAUUGCCUAUUCGUGAAGAAAUCUUACGAGCUCUCUUGAAUUCGGAUUUGAUUGGGUUCCACACUUUUG
rnacentral:lncRNA from 1 species